CAGUGCAAUCAGUCAACGCAGGGCAGCUUGUGGCGAGCUGUUGGGGAUUAGCGACCUCACGUACCCGAGUGCUCCUGGGGAGUUCUGUUACCCGCAAGGAGGGUGGGUGGGACAGGAUUCUCUGCCUCUGGCUUGCCUUAGCCCUCCAGGGGUGGAAGUGAAAUAUGCAUAAGACGCGAGUUGGCACAGUGGCUGUUAACAGUCACUGGGUAGAAAGCGGCGCACACCUCUCGACACCCCUGAGCCGCUCACACCGGUGUUGCCCUUGAGCCAUCCUAGAUGUCGCUUUUUUGUGGGGGCCCAUCUUGUGAGGGCGAGUCACCGUCUGCCGGAAAUAAAAUUGCAUACCGUUUAAUUAGGCAGGCGUCCGGUUUUUUACCCCAUAGCUCAGUACUAGUCCAUCGCUUUCACCCAAUAACCUAGUUCAUUUUAGAUUUCAUCAACUCUCAAUAGCCCUUACACCCUGGCGGGUGCUGCCUCUGCGUGCGUCCCAUGACACGGGUAAGGGCAGCAUCCGCUCGGUGUACCCCUUACAUUUCAUUAAAGUGUCAAAAGGGCCUCUACGUGUUGGCUUCGGCUCCGCGCACGCCUCCCAAAGGUCCGGAACACCAUUGUUCCGUGAUGGGAAAGACAUACAAUAAAUA